GACCGUCUCAGAACCCCUCAUCUCUCUCUCUCUAUACCUCCGCUCCCUUAUGCCCAGAACCACCGUCGAAAAUCGCAUAACGGCGGCGGACGGUCUCCAAACACCACCAAAUUUUCACCACAAACUCCCCUCACCUUCCUCAUCCUCAAUCCCUCAUCUAUUUUCUUAAUAAACCACCCGAGUUCCAAGAUUAGUGGAUCUAAAAUCUCAGAAAAACCUAGAUUUUUCCCCUUUUGAUUUCUUGAGUGAUUGCUAUUCGUUUUGGCUCGAAACCCACGUGAAUAGAUUGCUUUUGACAAGAGCAAUCGAUUUACAUUAGUUUUGAUUCAUUUCGAGAUCGCCGGAGUCCCAAGUCGUUGUUGACCGACCAGAUUUCAUUAUUCCCUGUUGCUCGUCGGAGAUCAUCUCGUCGUCUCAUUCACUGGAAUUUUCUUGCUAAACACUUGGUAUGUGAUACUUUACCUGUUACUGCCAUCGAAAUAUAUAGAUGAAGAUCUGAAUUGUUCAUGUUGUAUCUAUGCUUAAAUCUUCUGUAUUCAUUAUGUUUGACCUCCAGAUUUGUCGAUACUUGUUUUUUAUUGAGAAUUGAGAUUAAUUGUUUGUCUAAAUUAAAAUUUUGAUUCAAUAUUGUUCCCUGACUGUGCCUAAUUACUCUCUGAACAACGAACUAAUCUCAUGAGGCAUUUGAGGAUUAAAAUUACUUAGAUCGAUGCACAGGUUUAUGAGGAUAGCAUGUUAAAGCACAAAUGCCAGAUGGCUACUUGUUGAGCUAGUUUGCAGAUCAAGUCAUUUAGUCUUAUUUAACUAGUCCUAGGUGUUCGACUGUGGUAAUUUGAAAUCUGCUUAGUUUAGAAUUUGAAGGCAAGUAUAAAUGUCAUGAUGAUUAUUGUAUCUGAUUUCUAUUUCUGUGUAUGUAAAACAAAAGUUAGUGAUGAAUCUGUCAAAUUCUGAGUAAUGGUUAUUAAAACUAGUGGUCACAAUUGUAACUGGAA